rnacentral:rRNA from 1 species
GCUUACGGCCACACCUCCCUGAGCACGCCCGAUCUCGUCUGAUCUCGGAAGCUAAGCAGGGUCGGCCCGGUUAGUACUAGGAUGGAGACCGCCUGGGAAUACCAGGUGCUGUAAGCC